UGAAAAUUAUAUUUUUGAAAUUAUCUUAAAUUAUAACAUUAGGAGUAGGAUGACAACGGGUAAGGUCGAAUAAGGAUAGUGCUUUCUUGCAAUUCGAUCUAAAAAAAAUUCACCCACUACUUUACAGAUAUUCUCUUAAAAAAUAUCCGCGAGUAUUUUAAAACUCACGAAUACUUGAGAAUUUCUUCAUAUACCUGCAAAUAUUUAAAAAAUAUAUAUUUUAAUAAAUUAUUAACAUAAAAUUUAAAUAUAAUUAUAAUAUAUAUAUAUAUAUAUAUAUAUAUAUAUAAUAUAACAUACUAAAUUAAAUUAAAAUUAAAAUUCAACUUUAAUUAAAUUUAAUCUUAUAAAAUAUAAAUUAAUGUUAAUUUUAAUUAAAUUUAACUUAAUAAAAUAUAAAUAAUUUUUUUUUUCUUUUUUUUUGUGAGAAACAAAUAUUCGUGGGUACAGAUAGUGUAAUACCCGACCAUUUAUAAUUGGGUAUUAAAAUAUCCGCUACCUGCAGAGUGCAGAUAAUAAAUAUCCAUGGAUAUCAAUUAUCCGUCGCCGAUUUUAUCCGCAGAUAUCCAUAGCUGCGAAUUUUUUUGUCAUACAUAAUUAGGAGUUGUGCCUAAAUAGACAUAAGAAUAUUUUUAAAAUUAAUUAAGAUUGAGAUAAUAUGCGUAUUCCUUAUGUUAUCACGCCACCAUUAAUGGAUAAAAUUAAAAUAAUAAAAUAUAAUGACAUAAGCUAAGAAGAUAAAAGAAAAUAGUGUAUGUUGAGUUUUAAAAGAAUGACCUGAUUUGUGAUUUAUUUUUAGGUUUAAACCCUUUAGUUGUCCCCAUUUAUCUAGACUUUUUUCAUUUUGAUCUCCUUAAUCUUCAAUUGAGUCCUUAUAAAUGCUAAUUUGAAUCAAUUGAGCUCUUAUCCUUAAAUGUAGUUAACAUGGUUAAGUUUUUGCACAGGUGAGAGAAAGACGUGUUAAUUUCUUUAAGUUAGCAUGGUGAGAGUUGAAACGUGACAUGGUUUAUGCCUUUAUGCGUGGAAUUUGGUAGAAUGUAAUAAUAUAAUAUUAGGGAUUUCUGAAAAGGGACUUAGGGUUCAAUGAAAUUCAAUUUGGGAUUAAAAAUCUGAGAGGUGGUUGUAGAUCAGACGAAGGAAUGGAGAUUAAGUAGUGAAUUUCUGAAUGGGGUCUGGGAGUAGCAGUCAAGGUUGUUGCCAUAACUAACUCCAAGCAGAUCACAGUAUCUUUUGAAGAACCCGAGUGGUCCUCCAUCCUGCUAUCCUGUCCUUUAUCGCACUCCAGGCCUCCGUUGAUGAUGUUCGUCACAGUGUCGUAGCCCGAAAGCCUCUCGACGGCCACGUCGGCGACGGAGGGGUCCAUUGAGAGGUGAUGACGUCGUGGGAGGAACCCCAUGCCUAUGGUCCGUCUAGUGCACUAGGCCAUCCCCCGGUUGUUUCGUGAGACGUUUCCCCUACACUAAAUUGUUCAUGAAAAAAGGAAUCUUUUUGAAGGUCUUACGCUGAAACUUUCAUGCCUCCGAAAAAGGGAAUCUUUUUUAUCUUUUUGACGAAACACUGUAAACUCUUGUUGAAAAUUGUCCCCCUUAAGAUCAGGUUUCUCUUCAUUUGAGUCAUAAGGAAUAUCAAAAGGGUUUCGUCUAGGUUGUAGAAUAGAAGGAGUAGAUGCAGGAAUGAGUGGUAAUCCCAUGGCAACAAAGGAUUCAUCAGGAAAAUCAAAUGGAUUAUGCCUGGUUGUAGCAAUAGGCUGGCAAUAAGAUUUUGAAUGACAGAUUUAAUGGCAUUUAAUGGCAGAUUUACUUUCAUCUCUAAAUUUAUAUCCAGCUCUAAAUUUCCUAGAUCCAUGAGCUUCUUUUGGUUUUCCUCUACCCAUUUAAUGACAAAUUUACUUUCAUCUUCUUUGCCACAUGUAGCUUCUUCUUCCUCUUCUUCUGAAUCAUAAAUUCCAUCUUAAAAAUCCAUAUUAAUAAAAUUUAAAAAGUUGCUAAAUUUUAUGUAUUCAACUCUCACCAUGCCACGUCUUAAACAUUAAACACAUUAACCUCUCACAUGUGCACAAACUUAACUCUGUUAACAUAAUAAUAAAUGUCAACACUCAAUUUCGUCCAGAUGACUAUAAUAGAAUUAGUUUUUAUUUUUGUCUUAUUUUAAUUUAAUUUUAUUUGUUUUAUUAUUUUUAAUUUUUGUUUUACUAUUUAGUAUUUGAUUUAGUUUUUUUUUAUUAUUGGAUUUAAUUAAAAAAGGAAAAAAGAAAAGAAAAAAAAAGAAAACGAAAAAAAAAGAAAAAAAAGAAAAAAAGAAAAAGAUAAAAAAAGAAAAGAAAAAAAAGAAAGAAAGCGAAAAAAAAAGGAAAGAAAAGAAAAGGCAUGAAAUGUUUUGUCUUUUAUUAAAAAAAAAAAAGAAACAAUUUGGUUUGAAAAAGGCCGUGUGCAUAACGACAAGGAGACAAGGUAGUCUGGAGAGGCCAGGAUAGAGCGCGGUUUGGGGUCUUUGGCAGGCCAAAAUUUGUUUUCUGCAGAGAAAAAGGAUGGGGAAUUUGGUUAGGACAUUCCGUUCAAAAAGGGACAGAAAAAACGUUGCUAGGGGAGGCUGAUGAAAAGCAAAGAAAAAAGACUAAAACCGGAGGGGAUUGGAGAUCAUUGAAAAAAAGAAAAAGGAAGACUCGGUUUCAGAGGGAUGAGAGAAACUUUGCUUCAUCGAGGGCUAGUGGAUGAGGUUUUCUGGAGAUUCUAAUGCCGGCAUCAACUUCACUCUGUCUGUCGCAACUGCCACUGGAGAUACAAGCAAUAGCAUAUAAGGGCCGCGAGAGGUAAGCAACCCGCUCCCUCGCUCAUACUAUCACAUGUAAUGUUGGCUGUAUUAUGAUUUGUUGUAUUAUGAACUGUGUGUUAUAUUUACUUACGGUUAUUGAUCUGCCCGUGUAUGACCCCCCUCACUCUUCAUUCUCAAUGACCACCCUUACCCAACAUCACCACCAUCCCAUAUCCACUCCUUGAUUUCUCUUCGCCAUCAAAAUCGUUCUACUAUUAAGCAUCUCCAUUUUCGCUAUUCUUGUUACACCAUACUCAUAGGUCCUGCAUUUUUAAAGAAAGAAAACAGAAGAGACUAAACCAAAAAAUACGCUUCGCAUACUAGCCCAUUAUCCUCAUCAAUCUUCACUCAUACCCCUAUGGUCAUCUUUCUGCGAGAACAGAGCCAACCCAAUAAAAUCCCUCAACAUCACAACUUCAUAGACUCUUCAAUCUGCACCCAGAAAAGAAACAACAAAAAACACAAAAAAAAUAUUUCGUUUUCUUUAGAGUUUUAUUUUUUUAGGGGAAAUUAAACAUUUUGCAAAUCACAUCAAAUUCGCGUAUUUAAUUAAAGGUACUGCCUUAGGGCAGGCGUUAUGGGCUGCUAACACCUUCCCCACAUGUAACCGACUUCCGAAACCAGAAGUUGGUUUUAUAGACCUUGCCUUAUCUUUUAUGGUUUUUUCCAUAGUUUUCCAGAAUAAACUAUGGUGGCGAUUCCAAAGCUCAUUUCAAAACUCAUUUCUUUUUUUUUGGAUCGUCGUCCCGUCGCGAUUCCGGUUGCGACAGAUGACGACUCCAAAGCUCAUUUCUUUUUUUUUUUUAUCAUCGUCCCUUCGCGAUUCCGGUUGCGACACAUGGCGACUCCGCUGGGGACUCGAGAGUCAGACUAUUUAAUUAGAUGCGCGAAUUCAAUGUGGUUUUGCUUUAUGUUUUUCUUCCCUUUUUCUUCCCUGUUUGGCUAUAGUGAGAACCCUAGCUAGAGUCUGUCUCUUCAUUUGUCUCUCUACAUCUAGUUGAUUACUCGACUGUUGUGGAGAUGCUGUGGAGAGUGUCAUAGCUCUAGUGAUCAUUGACCUUUAUGUUUAGGGAACUAUCCUUGUGAGAUUGCAUAUACUUGACCCUGAAUCCGAAGCAAUGAACCUUUAUUAGGGCACGAAGGGAGAAGUGUGUAUCCCUGUAAUCCUCACGCUGUUUGUUCUCUUUGAAAAUAAUGACAUUACAUUUUCAUACCAUGCAUGUAUUUUGUUAGUCAUGUUAUAUUAUCAUGCAUCAUGUUCAUAUCUCAUUUAGUAACAUGCUGGUUUUAAGGGAAAUCACAGGUAUUCAUUUGAUUGCACACGGGAUGGACGUUGAUACAAGAUCCGGUGCCACACAGCAUAUUAACUCUGUCGUUUUAAGGAUGAAACCUAGCCUAAGGACCUUUGGUGGAAAUUUGACUGGGCUGAUAAACUUGGGUAAAAGACUCAACCAUAAAAAGGGAGACUUUCAAGAAGAAAUAUGGAAAUCUAUUGAGCUUAAUGGAAAUGGAAGUACAGUUGCCCGCCAUCACAACUCUUGCCCAAUAUUAUGACUCUCCACUAAGAUGUUUCACUUUUCGAGAUUUCCAGUUGACGCCGACCAUAGAAGAGUUUGAACAUAUCUUGGGUUUACCAUUAGAGGGUACCAUGCCAUAUCAGCAUUUGGAGCACCACGCUUCUAUACCUACCAUUGCCACCAUCAUGAAGUUACAUCCCAAAGAGCUUGAAGAUAGGAUGGUGACGAGGCAUCAAAUGCGUGGGUUGACAGAAGAAUAUCUAGAACAAUAUUUGCAACAUCUGGCUGAUAAGGAGGACUGGGAAACUUUCAUGGAUGUGCUAGCUCUUACUGUGUACGGCAUUGUGUUAUUCCCCAAAAUUGAAGACUUUGUGGACCCUAUUGCAAUAGACGUCUUUGUGGCAAGAAAGAUGAGGUCAGAAAAUCCUGUGACAGCGGUCCUUUCUGAUGUUUAUGGGACUAUGAGUUUCUGUCACGAGAGGAAGGGAAAGAAAAUUCUUUGUUGCCUGCCUGCGUUGCAUGCAUGGAUGACUGCACUCGUAUUUAAAGGGACAGUUAACGUUAGAAGUCCAUCUGAAAACUUGUCCCACCAAGGGCUCGAGGGCAAAGGAGGUAAUGAGUGGGCCCAAUUCUUUGCUGGUUUGAGCGAAGGGAAUAUAAAGUGGCGUCUUCCCUAGCUUGGAAUUAAACCGUCUAUACAGCAUUGUGGCAGGUUUCCCAAUGUGCCUCUCAUAGGUUCCCGAUACUGCAUCAAUUAUAACCCUCUUUUAGUUCAAAGACAAUUUGGUCAUCCUAUGAACUGGGCAUCUUCACCGGACUAUCUUGUCGCCCUAUUCAUUUACUAUGAAGAUGGGCAUUUCAUUGAAAUGUUGAGAAAGGUUAGAAGCGCUUGGGAGAGUGUUGUGAGGGCAGAAAAGGAUCAAAGGUUGGGAGUGGUGGACAACAAAGUUACUUAUCUUACAUGGAUCCUAGAAAGGGUAAAAGAAGUUAAACUCCCUUUCAGACCCAUCAGCGACCAACCUGCUAAUGAAGGACCUUCUCAAAACCAAGAGAGUGAAUAGAUGAAACAAUUAAAGGCAGAGAUGGAAAGGUUGAGGGAAAGAAAUGUUAGAUUGGAAAAAGAGCUGCAGAGUGCGCGUAAUGAUUUUGUUGAUGUAAGGAAUGAUAAGGAGGAAAAAACUCGCGCCUAUGAAGAAGUUCUUAGAAGUCAAAGGGUUGAAAGAGAUUAUACGUUCUGAUUGAAGCAAGAUCUCGCAACCACAAAUAAAGAGCUAGCAAUGAGGGUGAAAAAGAAAAAUGCGGCGUUGGAAGAAGGAAAGCAAUGGAAGCAUCUCUACGAAGAAGCCAAGAGAGAUAAGCGGGAGGCUCUGAAAAGAUUAAGAGAAGCACAAGUUCAGGUAGAAAAGGUGGGACACCAGAUGAAAGAAAUGGCUACUUCGUUUGAGGCCGAUAUGAACCGUGAACGCUGGAAGCUAGCGGAGGCAGAAAAGGAUCAUCGAGCCAUGAUGCAACAAAUAGAGAGUUAUAUUGAGGAGCAAGAAGAACGAUGAAGGUCAAUGAAGUUCAAAGAAAAGCAUCAGGCCUUAGUAAGACGAAUGGAGGACCACAUUGCAGAACAAGAACAAACUGUGAAACAUUGGAAAGAAAGUCCGGUGAAGGUGCCCCUUUCAUAGGAUGACCAAAUUGUCUUUGAACUAAAAGAGGGUUAUAAUUGAUGCAGUAUCUGGAACCUAUGAGAGGCACAUUGGGAAAGUUGCCACAAUGCUGUAUAGACGGUUUAAUUCCAAGCUAGGGAAGACACCACUUUAUAUUCCCUUCACUUAAACCAGCAAAGAAUUGGGCCCACUCAUUACCUCCUUUGCCCUCGAGCCCUUGGUGGGACAAGUUUUCAGAUGGACUUCUAACGUCAAUUGUCCCUUCAAAUAUGCGUGCAGUCAUCCAUGCAUACAACGCAGGCAGACAACAAAGAAUUUUUUUUCCCUUCCUCUUGUGGCAGAAACUCAUAGUCCCAUAAACAUCAGCAAGGACCGCUGUCAUAGGAUUCUCUGACCUCAUCUUUCUUGCCACAAAGACGUCUAUUGCAAUAGGGUCCACGAAGUCUUCAAUUUUGGGGAAUAACACAAUGUCGUACACAGUAAAAGCUAGCAUGUCCAUGAAAGUUUCCCAAUCCUCCUUAUCAGCCAGAUGUUGCUAAUAUUGUUCUAGAUAUUCUUGUGUCAACCCACGCAUUUGAUGCCUCGUCACCAUCCUAUCUUCAAGCUCUUUGGGAUGUAACUUCAUGAUGGUGGCAAUGGUAGGUAUAGAAACGUGGUGCUCCAAAUGCUGAUAUGGCGUGGUACCCUCUAAUGGUAAACCCAAGAUAUGUUCAAACUCUUCUAUGGUCGGCGCGGAAAUCUCGAAAAGUGAAGCAUCUUAGUGGAGAGUCAUAAUAUUGGGCAAGAGCUGUGAUGGCGGGCAACUGUACUUCCAUUUCCAUUAAGCUCAAUAGAUUUCCAUAUUUCUUCUUGAAAGUCUCCCUUUUUAUGGUUUUGAGUCUUUUACCCAAGUUUAUCAGCCCAGUCAAAUUUCCACCAAAGGUCCUUAGGCUAGGUUUCUUCCUUAAAACGGCAGAGUUAGUAUGCUGUGUGGCACUAGAUCUUGUAUCAACGUCCAUCCCGUGUGCAAUCAAAUGAAUACCUGUGAUUUCCCUUAAAACCAGCAUGUUACUAAACGAUAUAUGAACAUGAUGCAUGAUAAUAUAACAUGACUAACAAAAUACAUACAUGGUAUGAAAAUGUAAUGUCAUUAUUUUCAAAGAGAACAAACAGCGUGAGGAUUACAGGGAUAUACACUUCUCCCUUCGUGCCCUAAUAAAGGUUCAUUGCUUCGGAUUCAGGGUCAAGUAUAUGCAAUCUCACAAGGACAGUUCCCUAAACCUAAAGGUCAAUGGUCACUAGAGUUAUGGCCCUCUCCACAGCAUCUCCACAACAGUCGAGUAAUCAACUAGAUGUAGAGAGACAAAUGAAGAGAAUAGACUCUAGCUGGGGUUCUCACGAUAGCCAAACAAGAAGAAUAUCCCAAAUGACAUCGCUACACAACCCCUCUCUUUCCAGGCUACACUCAGACCCGGGUAUAGGGCCCAACUCAUGACAUGCAUAAAGUGUGUGUGUGAAGGGAGAACGCCAUGCACAUCCAAACCCUCACCUGCAAAACAACCAGAAAAAUCUCAGGCAGAUAUAAACAUGUUUUCUACCCUAGGGUUCAACAUACAACAAUUAUUGCAAUUAUUUCGAACAUAGAUAAAGAAAAGGGGAAGAAAAACAUAAAGCAAAACCACAUCGAAUUCGCGCAUCUAAUUAAAUGGCCCAACUCUCGAGUCCCUAGUGAAGUCGCCAUCUGUCGCAACCGAAAAUCGCGACGGGACAACGAUCCAAAAGAAACUUUUGGAAAAAUAGUUUUGGAAUCUCCACCAUAGUUUAUUCUGGAAAACUAGGGAAAAACCAUAAAAUGAUAAAACUUGGUCUACGAAAACCAGAUUUUAGGUUCGGGAGUCAGUUACGUGUAGGGAAGGUAUUAGCACCCUACAACGCCUGCCCGAAGGCAGUACCUUUAAUUAAAUACGGAAAUAAAGAUGUGGUUUGCAAAAUGUUUAACUAUCCCCAAAAAUAAAAUUCUAAAUAAACAAAAAUAUUUUUUAGUUUUUUGGGCCCGACAAGGAUUGACCUUGCUCCUACGUAUUCUCAUUAAAAAUGAGAAAUCAGGGUCACGUAGUUCUAGCUGAAAAGUUGUUUGUUGUUUGAAAAUGUGAAUGUUUUGUAUUUUGGGCAUUUUUAUGUAAAAAAAAGAAAGAAAAGUCUCAGCACGAGGACGAUGCGAGUGAGCACACACGUACCUAAACUUUUUAAAUGCUUUUGAUAUUUUUAUAAAAGGGAAAAAGAUCUUAGCGCGAGGCUAAUGCGGAUGAUCGCACACAUGCUUAAACCUUUAAAAUAUUUUUGAUAUUUUAUAAAAGGAAAAAAGGUCUUAGUACGAGACUGAUGCGAAUGAUCGCACACACACUUAAACCUUUAAAAUAUUUUUGAUAUUUAAUUAUUUUAUUGUUAUGUAUUAUAAAAAUACUUUAAAAUAGGUAAAUAAAAUAAAGUAGUAAUAAUAACCACUAAAAUAAAAACCAUAGGAUAUCUAAACAAAUUUUAUUUUUAAUAAUAAAUUGGGCUUGAGCCCAUAUUGGAAAGAGAGGUGAAGAUGGAGGAUAAGGGGUGAAGGAAAGUAGAAUAGGGGCUGCAAGGUAGAGAUGUUUUUUGUUUGACCCGUAUGGGCCCAAUUGACUACUGGUACGGUGCGAAAUAGUAAAACGGGGGUGUAGAAGGAAUAACAUAAAAAACUAAAGAAAAAAAAAUGAUAAAAUAGAAAAGUUAAAAUGGACCCCAGCCCAAUCCCCCUCUUCAGAAUUUUCCUAGGGUUUUCUCACCCCCCAAACUCUCUAGGAGGCUCUCAUUUGCAACACUCUAGCUUCUACUCAGAAACCUAAAGUCUCUCAUCUCUCCACUCUGCCAGCAAACCUAGGGUUUCUACUUCCACCGGCAGCCGCGAAUCACACCACCCCCAACCGGCCAGCCACCGCGCCGUCCCCUCUACUCCGUCAACGGAGUUUCCGGUGACAGCAAACGCUGCCAGAACCGCAGCGUCGGGCCACGACGUUCUCUCCCUCCCCCUCUCUCUCUGUUCGAUCUAGGGUUGGGGUUUCUUCUCAAAUGCGCUGGCGCCUCCUCCGACAUCCACGGCGCCACCACCGUCGAGGUUCGUCUCGCAUCAUCGCCGGCGACGCCAACCCUCACCGAAAGCGUCGAGCACGAACCCUCCUUCUUCUUUAAAUUCGAAACCGCUACCGUCAGAGUAGAUGGGCGUUGCCGCCGCCGUCGACCACCAGUAGCAGCCUUGAGGAUUGGUUUCCUCUCCGACCCUCCACUUCUUCGUUCGCCAUUUCACGUUACCUCAGCUCUCAACUUCGACUUGGUUACUCAACGAGACAGGGUUGCUUAACAGUGGUUUAAAGUUCCAGAUUUUGUGCUUGUGCUCCUGUGCAUGUGUUUGGCGACCUUGGGUUUCUGUUAUGGUAUGGUGCGUGUGUGUAUUUGGACCUGUGUGAGGAACAGAGGUGGGGAACGGAGGAAUUGGUGAAGCUUGGGAGUGUAAGGUUUGGGUUGGAGGAGAAUAGAAUGGUGAUUGGGGCUGGAAAUUAGUUUUGGUUCUUGGUGAUUGGUGCCUAUCUCUGUGACUUAGCGCCUUGCAGGUUGAGGGUGAUCGGGCCAUAUAAACUACACUCUGCUUUUGUCCAUUUCUAGCCUUUUGGUUAGAGUUUGAUAACUGGGUUCUGUAUCUCAAGUCUCUGCUUAUGCUAUGUCUAUUGAGAUGUAUUUAUCAUUGUGAACUAAACUGAUUGGAGUUAGCUCUCUCUUUCUUGCUUGGUGAAGAAGGACAGGGUAUGGGAUAUUUUCUUCUGGGUUGCAGGGAAGCUAGGAGCAAGGGGUGACAAAAAUGGCGAAAAUGUGGAAGCCAUCCAACAGCAAAAGAAAAUCAAAGAGUGAAUAUGGGAUGGUGGUGGUGGCGUCGUAAACGACUCAAGGAGGUUGGGUUAGUUUUUCUUUGCUUGGUUGUCAACUCCAUUGGACACAGGCGAGGAAACAGAGCAUGGGACAGUGUGGGAUAGUGAAUGGAGAACGGGAAGGAUUCAAGUCACAUGAUCAUACACAACAUGGUAGGUAAAAUUCUCUAUAACAGUCAUAACACCAAUGCAACAGUAAUAUGUUCAAGGACAAAAACAUGGAGUGCGAGGAGGCAUUACUUACCUCUUGAAGACUCGAUUGCCAACGCAUCCUUGCGUAUCCGAUGAGUCUCCUUCUCCUCCGACGCAGUUCCAAAUAUUGCUCUCACAGCUCCUUGAUUCUUGAUGCAGCGAGCAAUUUUUUUUUUGCUUAGUGUUCUCUUCGUAAAAAAUAAUGCUGAAAAUGCCACCCUCUUUUGUUAUCGUUCCCCCUGGCCAAAGCUCUCUCGACCCUUUUUUUGGUUCUCGCCUCAGCUUCCUGCUCCACUUCUCAGUAACCGUUUUCUCUGCUCUGUCAAAUUCCAAAAACGUCUCUGCUGCCAUGUUUCCUCAGACCACCUUAUCUCUUUGUCGUUAUGCACACAUCGCCACCACGCUUCAAGCUCCUUUUUUUUUUAUUUUUUUUUAUUUUUUUUUAAAGAAAAACUAACUUAAUUAUAUUAGCACAAAACUAAUAAUAAAAAUAAAACGAAACCCAAAAAAUGAAAAUUAUGAAACGAAAAAUAAAAAGAAAGAUAAGAUAAAAUAAAAUAAAAAUAAAAAGAAGGAAUAAAAAUAAGUAGAGGAAUAAAUAAAAUGAAAAUCAAGAUAAGAAAAUUUGGUAUUGACAAUAAAAGUUACAUGUCAUUAGAAAUUACACAUAUUUCCUAGUCCAUCAUUUAAUAAAUUUACGAAAUAAAGAUUAAAGCAAAAAUUAAAUUUCCAUAUCAAGCAAUUAACAACUAAUAAUCCUAACUAAUAAAAGGAUGAAUCUUUAAACGGAAUAAAAGUAUGAAUUAUACAAUUUUGGGUUCAUGGACUCAACCUCUUUGAAGUUCAGAAAGGCAAAAUAUUCCCAGAAUAACAAUGAAAAAGAACAAUUUGACCUCUUUUUGUCUUUACAGCAAUUCUUUAUUUCGGGGCCCAAUGGCAUUGGAUCUGAGAUAAACAAAUUAUUCUAUAAAAAGC
rnacentral:lncRNA from 1 species